CUCUCGGCAACGGAUAUCCCGGCUCUCGCAUCGAUGAAGAACGUAGCGAAAUGCGAUACUUGGUGUGAAUUGCAGAAUCCCGUGAACCAUCGAGUUUUUGAACGCAAGUUGCGCCCGAUGCCAUUAGGUUGAGGGCACGUCUGCCUGGGUGUCACGUAAAGCAU
rnacentral:rRNA from 2 species